CCUACGGGAGGCAGCAGUGAGGAAUAUUGGUCAAUGGACGAGAGUCUGAACCAGCCAAGUAGCGUGAAGGAUGACUGCCCUAUGGGUUGUAAACUUCUUUUAUAAAGGAAUAAAACGAGGCACGUGUGCCUUUUUGCAUGUACUUUAUGAAUAAGGAUCGGCUAACUCCGUGCCAGCAGCCGCGGUAAUACGGAGGAUCCGAGCGUUAUCCGGAUUUAUUGGGUUUAAAGGGAGCGUAGGUGGAUUGUUAAGUCAGUUGUGAAAGUUUGCGGCUCAACCGUAAAAUUGCAGUUGAAACUGGCAGUCUUGAGUACAGUAGAGGUGGGCGGAAUUCGUGGUGUAGCGGUGAAAUGCUUAGAUAUCACGAAGAACUCCGAUUGCGAAGGCAGCAUACCGGCGCUCAACUGACGCUGAGGCACGAAAGCGUGGGGAUCGAACAGGAUUAGAUACCCUUGUAGUC
rnacentral:rRNA from 1 species